UCUAUUGAGUCUACGUGUAUAUUGUAUUGUGUUUAUUAACCUUGUGAAAGGAACUACCAUGAAAAAUACAUCUCUUUGGAUGAGAGGUUGAAUGCAGUUGAAGAAGGAUGAUCUUUGCAGAUUGACCAAUUCACUUACCUUGAACUAAGUUAAUGCUUCACAUCUACUCUUAUACUUAGAAAACUGAUACAUAGAUCGGUUGUUGAACGUAGUAGAUUUAUACAUUGCUUUGGCUACAACAUUGACGUUUUUUGCCUUUUACCUUUUUUUGAUUUGUUGUGCUAUUGGAACUAUUGUUAGCUUCCAAACCAAAAUAUUAACCACAAUCAACUAUUUCACAUAUGUGGCCAAUGGAUACAAAAUAUAAACAAGCAUAAAGGGGAAAACUGGUGUCAUGCCAUUCUAUUGUAACUGUAAUUAUAGCUUCCUGUGGAAGUUGACACAUCUUUCCCAAAAUAGCCAUAUAUUCUACCAAACACACGGAUCAAUUAACCCGAGGUCAUAUUCUUCUGACCUUCCCUCUCUGUCUCCCUCUAGAGUGAAGCGGAGUGUGCUGCAGUCCUUUGGUGCAGGUGUUGUGUGUGAGUGAGCAGAGACGAGUGAAAGCACCAGCCGGGGCUGGCUGAGGCAGCAGAGGAGAGAGUGUAUAAGACCGCACAAAGAGCUUGAAGGAUUUCUCAGGACACAAAUGAGAGAAGCAGCUGAGCCAGGGGUAGGAUGGAGGGGAUGCAAAGGAUUGAGAGGAGGAGGACGCGGAACGGUGGAGAGAACUGUGCACUAGUGGGCUCCGUUUUGUCCCUAACCCGUACCUCUGGAUGUCUCUGCCCAGACUGGUCCGACCCAAAGUUUACACUAUUGUAAGGCACUGGGUACACCUGGAGGAUCGGACACGCUUUCUUUGCCAUAAUAGAGUAUUUUCUGUUAAGCAAUGGGCUCUCUAAUGCCUAACUGGAAUUUUCCUUGAAGCUGCUCCAUUUUUUACAUACACAACGUGAUUGAUCUGCUUUGCAUUCUGGAUCAGAGGCUCUAGGAUAAAAAAAAAGAAAAAGUAAAGCCUUAAUACGGUCACUUGGCUGAGUUUUGUAUCGCUGCUAAACUAUUUUUAUAGUGGAUUCGUAUGCGUGUUGAAAUCUUCUGACCUUUUUUUAAUGGUAACCCAACCAGCGUUUACACUGUUUCCCAAGGUGUGUGGCAUAACAGAAAUGCCAUGUUACUGCCACUGUCAAUGUGUUUGGGGGCAUGCGAGUGUGCUCUUGUUAGUGUAAUGAGUAAAUUGUUUGAAAUGUCCCUACACCAUGUGAGCUCUGGGAUACUUUCAGAGAUACACAUAACUUCAUGCAAUGCUACUUUUCUGCUCAUGAGGCCAGUUGGAAUUCCCUUCUGAGUUUCUCUGCUUGUUGUGAUAUUGACACUAUAGUGCAUCUCUAAUGCAUUCCUGAUUGUAUGAUGGUUGCUGAUUUGUUAGCUCUGUGUUUAUUGCCUAUUCUAUUACUUUAUUGAGUAUAUUGCUGAAAUGUUUUUUUUAAGUUAUUCAAAAGUCAAUAUUUAUUUUGUUUAGUUGUUUUUGUUGACAUAUGAUUAAUGGUUGAGUCGUUGGGCAAUAUAUGGUAAUUAAUACAGUAGAAUGAGCUCUUCAAGGUUGUUUACAUGAAAUUCAAUUGAAGCUAAACUCAAUCAGAAACCAAAAGUGUACUUUUACCUUCAUACCUGUAUGUUUGGCAACAGAAGUUAACCUCAACAGCAAAUUCCCAAAGAUUGAAUAAGAUGUGAUCUGACUGAAAAGAUGCAUUUUGUGUUUGGAAUACUUGAUGAUUAAAAAUGCGUACUUCAUUA